UGGAAGUAAAAAAUCGUAACAAGGUCUCCGUUGGUGAACCAGCGGAGGGAUCAUUACCGAGUUUACAACUCCCAAACCCCUGUGAACAUACCACUUGUUGCCUCGGCGGAUCAGCCCGCUCCCGGUAAAACGGGACGGCCCGCCAGAGGACCCCUAAACUCUGUUUCUAUAUGUAACUUCUGAGUAAAACCAUAAAUAAAUCAAAACUUUCAACAACGGAUCUCUUGGUUCUGGCAUCGAUGAAGAACGCAGCAAAAUGCGAUAAGUAAUGUGAAUUGCAGAAUUCAGUGAAUCAUCGAAUCUUUGAACGCACAUUGCGCCCGCCAGUAUUCUGGCGGGCAUGCCUGUUCGAGCGUCAUUUCAACCCUCAAGCACAGCUUGGUGUUGGGACUCGCGUUAAUUCGCGUUCCCCAAAUUGAUUGGCGGUCACGUCGAGCUUCCAUAGCGUAGUAGUAAAACCCUCGUUACUGGUAAUCGUCGCGGCCACGCCGUUAAACCCCAACUUCUGAAUGUUGACCUCGGAUCAGGUAGGAAUACCCGCUGAACUUAAGCAUAUCAAUAAGCCGGAGGA
rnacentral:rRNA from 1 species